rnacentral:rRNA from 1 species
UACGAAGGGGGCUAGCGUUGUUCGGAAUUACUGGGCGUAAAGGGCGCGUAGGCGGCUUUGUAAGUCGGGGGUGAAAGCCUGUGGCUCAACCACAGAAUUGCCUUCGAUACUGCAUGGCUUGAGACCGGAAGAGGUAAGUGGAACUGCGAGUGUAGAGGUGAAAUUCGUAGAUAUUCGCAAGAACACCAGUGGCGAAGGCGGCUUACUGGUCCGGUUCUGACGCUGAGGCGCGAAAGCGUGGGGAGCAAACAGG